GUGAUUUGAAUUCUUGCAAAACUUGCACUCGAAAGUUUUGACUCCUCUCAAACCAACCCAAACAUCACCUAUAUCAUCUAAAGAGAGAUCAUCCUGGAAAUUUUAGUCAUCGACAAAAUUCCCUAGGCAACCCUAUCAUUCUGUCAAACACCUUGAGUACAGGGUUGAAUUCUGGCCAUUACUCAAGUCUCCACUGCCAACUUGAUCCUAUGAUAAAUCCAACAUGUCCAUCAUCCUUGUCACCUUAUAAGAUCCGUGGAGCCAUGUAGCUUCUGUUAGCAUUUCGUCGAG
rnacentral:lncRNA from 1 species